rnacentral:rRNA from 1 species
UAGCUCACUGGUCGAGUCGGCCUGCGCGGAAGAUGUAACGGGGCUAAACCAUGCACCGAAGCUGCGGCAGCGACACUGAUGUGUUGUUGGGUAGGGGAGCGUUCUGUAAGCCGUUGAAGGUGGCCUGUGAGGGUUGCUGGAGGUAUCAGAAGUGCGAAUGCUGACAUAAGUAACGAUAAAGCGGGUGAAAAGCCCGCUCGCCGGAAGACCAAGGGUUCCUGUCCAACGUUAAUCGGGGCAGGGUGAGUCGACCCCUAAGGCGAGGCCGAAAGGCGUAGUCGAUGGGAAACGGGUUAAUAUUCCCGUACUUGGUGUUACUGCGAAGGGGGGACGGAGAAGGCUAUGUUGGCCGGGCGACGGUUGUCCCGGUU